rnacentral:rRNA from 1 species
ACCUCGGAUCAGGUAGGGAUACCCGCUGAACUUAAGCAUAUCAAUAAGCGGAGGAAAAGAAACCAACAGGGAUUACCUCAGUAACGGCGAGUGAAGCGGUAACAGCUCAAAUUUGAAAGCUAGCUCUUUUAGGGUUCGCAUUGUAAUUUGUAGAAGAUGCUUCGGGUGUGGCCCCGGUCUAAGUUCCUUGGAACAGGACGUCAUAGAGGGUGAGAAUCCCGUAUGUGACUGGGUGCUUUCGCUCAUGUGAAGCUCUUUCGACGAGUCGAGUUGUUUGGGAAUGCAGCUCAAAAUGGGUGGUAAAUUUCAUCUAAAGCUAAAUAUUGGCCAGAGACCGAUAGCGCACAAGUAGAGUGAUCGAAAGAUGAAAAGCACUUUGGAAAGAGAGUUAAACAGUACGUGAAAUUGUUGAAAGGGAAGCGCUUGCAACCAGACUUGCGCGCUGAUGAUCAUCCGGGCUUCUGCCCGGUGCACUCGUCUGCGCUCAGGCCAGCAUCGGUUUCGGUGGUGGGAUAAAGGCCUUGGGAAUGUAGCUCCUCUCGGGGAGUGUUAUAGCCCUCGGUGCAAUGCCGCCUACCGGGACCGAGGACCGC